CCACGGAGGCGAAGCUCUGGACGAACCAUCAGCGCUGAUUAGGGACUUAGACAUAUUCGAUUUCUCACGCUUAUGACUCUGUAUAACCGUUGCCACUUUACUUAAUAAAUCCAAGGUCCUCGUGCCGACAGACUUUAUUACCUCUCCGUCUCAUUUUAUCUGGUCCAGUAACUAGACAGACCGUUUUUCCCUUCAAUUUGGUGACCCACGACGUGAUUUUUUCUAAAUUGGACCGCAACUGGGAAACGAGAGACGGAGAGCGGCACGACCUCGGGACCCCGGAGCACCGGACCGAUUCCUGCAGUCUCACCUCGCGCGCGCCCAACAAAAGUUUCCCUGAGGUGUAUCUUUCACGCACACACACGCUGCAUAGGGCAGAAGCGGCUGAAGACUCUGUCUCCAUCCCUCCACCUUGCGAUCUAUACCACCAUAUAGGUGGGGAUUGAUCGUAUCCCAGGUACGGCAUCCUGCAGCGAGCCAGUAUGGAAGGCUGGUUAGCCAACGACGGUGUUCAACAGAUGGGUAGAAGCCAUCCCAUCAAAAGACCAAAGUGGGACUA
ensembl:lncRNA